GAAAGUCUUGCAUCCAAGUUGCUACAGGAUAGGUAUCCAGUUCUGCUGAUAACAGUGUACAAUGUUUCAGUUUUCAUGGGUAAAUCUUUAACUGCAAUAUAUAUUGCGAAGAGCAUCAAGAAGGCAACACGGGCUUGCAUUCUUUGGCUUUGUUUUAUCCACUCUUUGCAGCAUGAAUGAAUGGACCCAAAUGGCUGAGAA
rnacentral:misc_RNA from 1 species